CCUACGGGAGGCAGCAGUGAGGAAUAUUGGACAAUGGGUGCAAGCCUGAUCCAGCCAUCCCGCGUGAAGGACUAAGGCCCUAUGGGUUGUAAACUUCUUUUAUACAGGGAUAAACCUACUUACGUGUAAGUAGCUGAAGGUACUGUAUGAAUAAGCACCGGCUAACUCCGUGCCAGCAGCCGCGGUAAUACGGAGGGUGCAAGCGUUAUCCGGAUUUAUUGGGUUUAAAGGGUCCGUAGGCGGAUCCGUAAGUCAGUGGUGAAAUCUCAUAGCUUAACUAUGAAACUGCCAUUGAUACUGCGGGUCUUGAGUGAGAUUGAGGUAGCUGGAAUAAGUAGUGUAGCGGUGAAAUGCAUAGAUAUUACUUAGAACACCAAUUGCGAAGGCAGGUUACCAAGUCUUAACUGACGCUGAUGGACGAAAGCGUGGGGAGCGGAACAGGAUUAGAUACCCUGGUAGUCCACGCCGUAAACGAUGCUAACUCGUUUUUGGGGCCUUUGCGCUUCUAGAGACUAAGACGAAGUAGUAUAAGUUAGUACCGACCGUCGGGUAGGUACGUUACGUCGAAGAAGUAGUAACGUUACAAAGUAGUUAAGUUAGUACGGCGUUGAGACGNGCGACGGACGACGACGAGGGAGGAGG
rnacentral:rRNA from 1 species